rnacentral:sRNA from 1 species
UAAUCUAUGGUAAUCUGCAAUUUUCAGGA